rnacentral:rRNA from 1 species
AGUAAUGCUUGGGAAUCUAGCUUAUGGAGGGGGAUAACUACGGGAAACUGUAGCUAAUACCGCGUAGAAUCGAGAGAUGAAAGUGUGGGACCUUCGGGCCACAUACCAUAGGAUGAGCCCAAGUGGGAUUAGGUAGUUGGUGAGGUAAAGGCUCACCAAGCUGACGAUCUCUAGCUGGUCUGAGAGGAUGACCAGCCACACUGGAACUGAGACACGGUCCAG